rnacentral:rRNA from 1 species
UCCGUAGGUGAACCUGCGGAAGGAUCAUUAUCGUGGGGCUUCGGCCCUAUCGAGAUAGAACCCUUGCCUUUUUUGAGUACCGUCCGUUUCCUCGGCAGGCUCGCCUGCCAAUGGGGACCCCAAUCAAACCUUUGUAAAUACCUGUAACAGUCUGAUCAAACAAACAAAAAUUAAAACUUUCAACAACGGAUCUCUUGGUUCUGGCAUCGAUGAAGAACGCAGCGAAAUGCGAUAAGUAGUGUGAAUUGCAGAAUUCAGUGAAUCAUCGAAUCUUUGAACGCACAUUGCGCCCUAUGGUAUUCCGUAGGGCAUGCCUGUUCGAGCGUCAUUCAAACCUUCAAGCUAUGCUUGGUGUUGGGCGUCUGUCCUGCCUCACGGCGCGGACUCGCCUCAAAUCUAUUGGCGGCCGGCACGUUGGCUUCGAGCGCAGCAGAAACGCGAACUCGGUGCCCGACGGGUCGGCCUCCCAGAAGCUAAA